rfam:Mus musculus chromosome 7, GRC primary reference assembly.
GAUUUGGUCAGGCUUCUGGCUAUACUCCAGGAAUUUUCUGGUCCUGGAUAUAACCACUGACAGACUGAAUG